rnacentral:rRNA from 1 species
UACGAGGGGUCCAAGCGUUGUUCGGAAUCAUUGGGCGUAAAGCGGGUGUAGGUGGCUCUGUAAGUCAGGGGUGAAAGCCCCGAGCUUAACUUGGGAAGUGCUUUUGAUACUGCUGAGCUUGAAUGUGGGAGAGGAUCGUGGAAUUCCAGGUGUAGUGGUGAAAUACGUAGAUAUCGUUUGGAACGCCAAUGGUGAAAACAGGUAGCUGGGAGUGUGCCGACGCUGAGACACGAAAGCCAGGGGAGCGAACGGG